UCAACGGGUUUUCGAUAGGUU
rnacentral:piRNA from 1 species